rnacentral:rRNA from 1 species
GACGAACGCUGGCGGCGUGCCUAAUACAUGCAAGUAGAACGCUGAAGGAGGAGCUUGCUUCUCUGGAUGAGUUGCGAACGGGUGAGUAACGCGUAGGUAACCUGCCUGGUAGCGGGGGAUAACUAUUGGAAACGAUAGCUAAUACCGCAUAAUAGCAGUUAUUGCAUGAUAACUGUUUGAAAGGUGCAAUUGCACCACUACCAGAUGGACCUGCGUUGUAUUAGCUAGUUGGUGGGGUAACGGCUCACCAAGGCGACGAUACAUAGCCGACCUGAGAGGGUGAUCGGCCACACUGGGACUGAGACACGGCCCAGACUCCUACGGGAGGCAGCAGUAGGGAAUCUUCGGCAAUGGACGGAAGUCUGACCGAGCAACGCCGCGUGAGUGAAGAAGGUUUUCGGAUCGUAAAGCUCUGUUGUAAGAGAAGAACGAAUGUGAGAGUGGAAAGUUCACACUGUGACGGUAUCUUACCAGAAAGGGACGGCUAACUACGUG